UACGGAGGGUGCAAGCGUUGUCCGGAUUUAUUGGGUUUAAAGGGUGCGUAGGCGGCUGCGUAAGUCGGGGGUGAAAGCCCGGGGCUCAACCCCGGAACUGCCUUCGAUACUGCAUAGCUUGAGUACGGGUGAGGCUGGCGGAACGGGCGGUGUAGCGGUGAAAUGCAUAGAUACCGUCCAGAACCCCGAUUGCGAAGGCAGCUGGCUAAGCCGUAACUGACGCUGAGGCACGAAAGCGUGGGGAGCGAACAGG
rnacentral:rRNA from 1 species